rnacentral:rRNA from 1 species
UGAAUACGAGACGCUACGGCGUCGAAGCAGUCUAUGUCAUACUUCCAAGAAAAGCUUGCACUGUCAUAAACAAAUAAUGCCUGUACCAUAACCGACACAGGUGGGUAGGUAGAGUAUACUAAGGGGCGCGAGAUAACUCUCUCUAAGGAACUCGGCAAAAUGACUCCGUAACUUCGGGAGAAGGAGUGCCUUAUUUAUAAGGUUGCAAUAACAAGAUCCAAGCAACUGUUUAUCAAAAACACAGGUCUCCGCUAAGUCGUAAGACGAUGUAUGGGGGCUGACGCCUGCCCAGUGCCAGAAGGUUAAAGAAGUUGGUUAGCAUUAGCGAAGCUGAUAACUGAAGCCCUAGUGAACGGCGGCCGUAACAAUAACGGUCCUAAGGUAGCGAAAUUCCUUGUCGGGUAAGUUCCGACCCGCACGAAAGGCGUAAUGAUUUGGAUACUGUCCCAGAGAGGGGCUCGGUGAAAUAGACUUGUCUGUGAAGAUGCGGACUACCUGCACCAGGACAGAAAGACCCUAUGAAGCUUUACUGUAACUUGAAAUUGAAAUUGGACUUUAUUUGCGCAGUAUAGGUGGGAGGCAUUGAUAAUAUUCUUGCGGGAAUGUUGGAGCCAUCAGUGAGAUACCACUCUUGUAAUGUUAGAUUUCUAACUUUGGAUCAUUAUCAGGUCAAAGGACAGUUUCAGGCGGGCAGUUUGACUGGGGCGGUCGCCUCCUAAAUGGUAACGGAGGCGCACAAAGGUUUCCUCUGAACGGGUAGAAAUCGUAUCUAGAGUGUAAAGGCAUAAGGAAGCUUGACUGUGAGACCUACAAGUCGAGCAGGGACGAAAGUCGGUCUUAGUGAUCUGACGGUGCUGAGUGGAAAGGCCGUCACUCAACGGAUAAAAGUUACUCUAAGGAUAACAGGCUGAUCUCCCCCAAGAGUUCACAUCGACGGGGGGGUUUGGCACCUCGAUGUCGGCUCAUCGCAUCCUGGGGCGGUAGUACGUCCCAAGGGUUGGGCUGUUCGCCCAUGAAAGCGGUACGCGAGCUGGGUUCAGAACGUCGUGAGACAGUUCGGUCCAUAUCCGGUGUAGGCGUUAGAAUAUUGAGAGGAGCCUUCUUUAGUACGAGAGGACCGAGAAGGACAUACCUCUGGUGUACCAGUUAUCGUGCCAACGGUAAACGCUGGGUAGCUAUGUAUGGAGAGGAUAACCGCUGAAAGCAUCUAAGUGGGAAGCCCACCUCAAGAUAAG